CAGGGAUUGCCUCAGUAACGGCGAGUGAAGCGGCAACAGCUCAAAUUUGAAAUCUGGCUCCUUCGGGGUCCGAGUUGUAAUUUGCAGAGGAUGCGUCGGGUACGGGUCCCUACCGAGUUCCCUGGAACGGGACGCCAUAGAGGGUGAGAGCCCCGUCUGGUAGGAUACCCAGCCCAUGUGACGCUCCCUCGACGAGUCGAGUAGUUUGGGAAUGCUGCUCUAACGGGAGGUAUACUCCUUCCAAAGCUAAAUACCGGCUGGAGACCGAUAGCGCACAAGUAGAGUGAUCGAAAGAUGAAAAGCACUUUGAAAAGAGAGUCAAACAGCACGUGAAAUUGUUAAAAGGGAAGCACUCGCUACCAGACUUGGGUUCGGCGGUUCAACCGGGGCCACGCCCCGGGGCAUUCCGCCGGCUCAGGCCAGCAUCAGCUUUCCGUCGGGGGCAAAGACGUCGGGAAUGUGGCUCCCCUUCGGGGGAGUGUUAUAGCCCGGCGUGUCAUACCCUUCGGGGGGCUGAGGUACGCGCUUCUGCAAGGAUGCUGGCGUAAUGGUAGCUAGUGACCCGUCUUGAAACACGGACCAAGGAGUCAACCUUAUGUGCGAGUGCCCGGGCGUAAAACCCCAGCGCGGAAUGAAAGUGAACGUAGGUGAGAGCUUCGGCGCAUCACCGACCGAUCCUGAUGUCCUCGGACGGAUUUGAGUGAGAGCAUAUAGGGUUGGACCCGAAAGAAGAUGAACUAUGCGUGUGUAGGGUGAAGCCAGAGGAAACUCUGGUGGAGGCUCGCAGCGGUUCUGACGUGCAAAUCGAUCGUCAAACAUGCGCAUGGGGGCGAAAGACUAAUCGAAUCUUCUGGUAGCUGG
rnacentral:rRNA from 1 species